GGUGGGAAGCCAGCGACUAACUGCUUAAGCUGUGGCGCGGCCAUUCAAUUCAAUAUGACAAUAUAAUAAUAAAUGACUAUAAUAAUUUAGCAAUCUUGAAGGCAGUUUCUGUGGUCUUGAAUCUUCUUUAAGAUGGUACUAGGCAGAUAAUUCCCAGAAGCAGUCACGAAGUGUUAUUUCCUGGAGAGAGAAUUGAACUGAGCAGUAAGCAUUCUCAUGACUUAUAUUAUCCAACACUAUGAGGCUAAUUUAUUCUUGGUAUAUAUAAUUUAGACUGACUAAAACUCUUUUCUAACAAAUAAAAUACUCACCUACACUGUAAAAAUAAUAAAUGAACUGAGCGAUAAGCGUUCUUAUGACUUGUAUUAUUCAGUACUAUUGUAUUGUAUUUGGCUCAUGAAAUUUGGUGUUGUAGGAGAGUUUAAAAGUAGAUACAAAUUUUGUGUUAAACACUGUUCUUUGUUGGUAAGUAUCAGCUUGGUCAUAGUGAACUGUAAGUAAUGAAGCUUCACUGUUUCAGUUACUUUCUUUGCAAAUAAUUUUGCAGUAUGAAAGUUUAUGUUGACUCCCAUCAAUUCUCCAUGCCUUGCAUAGUCUUUUGAGUGGUUUGUAGCCAUAUUUUAUUGUUGAGGAGAAUGUUAACACUGUUCUUGUAAUGAUGGAACUGAUACAUGACUCAAGUUCUGGGGAAGAUCAGGAUUUUCAUUUUAUAAGCUGAUUGUUCUUGACAUUUAUUAUUGUGCUUGAAUAUUCUUGUUCCGUUUUGUUUCCAGUUCCUCUAGAACCAAUAUUUUGUCCCUGCUAAUAAUCUAAUAUAGAUAAUUGCAUUUUAUAAAAGCUGUACCGACAUCAAAGUGUGUGAAGCAGUGAAAAUACAAAUGUGGCUAUGGAUAUCAUGGUGUUCUGCCUGUAGCCUGUGACCUACUAGCACGAGACCUCAAGUGACUUGUCUGCCAUAAGAUGAAGUAGUUAUUGCUGUACAGUCAUAACGAUCAUAUUACAACAUUUCUCUGACGUCCAUUAUGCUUUCCUAUCUUCCAUUCAUGGCUCUUUCAGGCUGCCUUUUCUCUUGCGGCUAUGCCACCAGAAUCUGUGCAUAUCAGGACUGAAGUGAAAAUCUGCGCAUGUCAAGAAUGAAGUGAAAAUCUAUGCAUGUCAGAACUGAAGUAAAAAUCUGUGCAAGUCAAGACAGAAGUGAAAAUCUAUGCAUGUCAAGACCGAAACAUGACAGGAAGAUAAUAUUACAGUAUUACAGGAAGAACUGUCAGUUUGAUGUGUGUGACCAUGUCAGACUGAUACUUAUUUGUCCAACAAACUGCCUCUCUUGCUUUACUGUACUGUAUUUGCUUCAGGAGGAUAACACAUGCACGUGAUAUCAUCCGACUUUGUGUGUUCCUUUGAUGCCUUCGAUGUUCAGCAUUGAGUAAUAUUCACUUGCUUUUCUUUAUUGCCACUACAUGUUUCAGCCCAACAAGCCAUCUUCAGGUGUACAGGUUGUUGUGAUUGCAGAAUCUGCUGCUUACUGUAAUGCUGUUUUGUUCCUGUUACGUGGAGGCCUUUGACUGUAUCUGGUUAUGUGGGUUAGUCAUC